CCAAAGUCGAUACGGAAAAUGUGUUAUUUAUUAAUUAAAGCUAACUUUUUCUUAUUUUUAGAAGAAGUAGAAGAUACAAGGAUGAUAUUGAAAGAAAGGUAUCACUUUCUGGUCCAUUGAUACAACAAACACUCAACAUUUUGAAACAGAUGGAUGGUAAAGUGAUGAAGAAUGAAUUUGAUAUUCAAAUUCUUGAUUUAUUGGCGAGUUCUUGGCCAGACAGACCACCAGUUGAGAAAAGCUGGAACUAUUGAAGGAUAUGAAGACUGGUUUAU